rnacentral:piRNA from 1 species
UCCUUUCAGGAUCUACUAUCUACUCACUGC